rnacentral:rRNA from 1 species
UACGGGGGAGCAAGCGUUGUUCGGAUUUACUGGGCGUAAAGGGCGCGUAGGCGGCCUGUGCAAGUCAGUUGUGAAAUCUCCGAGCUUAACUCGGAAAGGUCAACUGAUACUGCUCGGCUAGAGUGCGGGAAGGGGCAACUGGAAUUCUUGGUGUAGCGGUGAAAUGCGUAGAUAUCAAGAGGAACACCUGCGGCGAAGGCGGGUUGCUGGGCCGACACUGACGC